UUUUUUUUUUUUUUUUUCCCAUUUGUUUCUUUCUUCUUCUUCUUCUUCUUUUUUUUCCAGAGCCACACCUGCAGCAUACGGAAGUUCCCAGGCUAGGGGUCGAAUCAGAGCUGCAGCUGCUGGCCUAUACCACAGCCACAGAAUCGCCAGAUCCAAACCGCAUCUGUGACCUACACUGCAGCUUGUGACAAUGCUGCAUCCUUAACCCACUGAGCCAGGCCCAGGAUUGAACCUGCAUCCUCGUAGAUACUAGUCAAGUUCUUAACCUGCUGAGCCCCAGCAGAAACUCCCCCGGCCAUGCUUUCAUUCACGCACUGGCUCUCCUGUUUUCAGAUGCUAGACAAUUUAAUGGCUACUCACUGUCUGCUGAAUCCAUGGGCACAGUGUAUGCAGAUGGGGGUGUAGACAGAUACACAAAUAUUCACACACGUACAUGUGUCCAUAUACAUACGCUAGUCUGAGGGGGCUGGCUGGUGUGAGCCAAAGGAUAAAAGUCACUUUUCAGAGGAGGAUGAAGGAGCAAGUUCAAGGUGACUGAGGAGGACUUCCAUGGGGGGAGAGGGGUGUGAGGUGCCCUGGGGUGUCCCCAGGUGGGGAGAAGGGGGCCAGAGAGGAGAGCAACCUCGAGGCAGAGGCAGGGAGGUGAAUAGUGGGAGGCGAAGCAGAUGGAAGGAAGCGAGCUGUGCCCUUGAACUCUCCUCGGGGGUCUGCUCCCCCCCCCAUCCUGCGAGAGCCCUCUGCCUCCGGUGACUGAGUCUCCCGGUGUCUGCGGCCUCCUACGCCCUCGUGAGCCUGGUCUUCUCGGAAGGAGGCAGGGACCGCUCAAGAGGAUCAGGCCAGCCUUCGCGUCUGCGCCAGGAAAAGCAGUCCCGGCUGUGGCCCUGGCUUCUGGAUCCACGCUGCCUUCUGAGGACCUAGGAGGGGUGAGCUGGCUUCCCACCUCCAGGCUAGCGCUGGUUCCCGGGAAGGGCUUGUGUGGUCUUGCCUCCAGGCGGCAGCUGACAUUGGCUUCCUGGAGCUCUCACAUUGGUCACUCACCCUUUUUUUUGUCUUUUUGUCUUUUCUAGGGUUGCACCUGGGGCAUACGGAGGUUCCCAGGCCAGGGGUGGAAUCGGAGCUCCAGCUGCCAGCCCGCACCAUAGCCACAGCAACACAGGAUCCGAGCCACGUCUGUGACCUACACCAUAACUCAUGGCAACGCCAGAUCCUUAACCCACUGAGCGAGGCCAGGGAUUGAACCUGCAACCUCAUGGUUCCUAGUCGGAUUCAUUCACCACUGAGCAACAGGAACUCCUGUCACUCACUCUUGAGCCCUGUGCCCCGGACCAGCUCAGACCCCAGCUUCUUUCUGGGCCUCAGAUGCUCUGUCUGCGGUUGGUGGUGGGGCCCCUCUAGCAGGUGUUCUGACCACAUCGUCCCCGCAUCCCUCUGCCCUUUGAAGAAAAGCUCAAACGCUUGUCCUGACUUUCAAGCUCCCUGCCGAGCGCCCCAGCCUCAUCUGAAAUAGCCCAGGUCCCUCCGCUCUGCCCUCCUCUCUUGCCCCACUGUUCCCGAGACACAGACAGGGAGGGCCACACAGCCAUUCCCAGCCAGAGACCCGGGCUUCCUCGCCAGCCCCCGUCUUUGCCAUUCCCUUCAGCCAAGGUGCCGCCCAACCCACCUCUUUUCCUCUGAACCCUCGGUGUCCAUCAAGCUCUAGGUCCAGUCUUACAGCUUCCUUUUCUGAUCCCUUAGUUGGGUGGGAUCCCUUCCUCUCCACCCACCCCCCAAUUCUGUGGACCUCUGUUAGGUCAGCGCCGGGCCCGGCCCGCCUGCCCCUCCCCGCACCUGCCCACGGCCCCCGAGUCACACCAACACUCACAGGCAGCCUUCCUGUCCCCGAAGCACCUUGGUGGCCCCGAGUGGGAUGGGUCAAGGCGGGAGGCCGGACACGAGGCUCUCGCGCUUCUGCUCUCACCAGGACUGGGGCACCUCUGAGCGAGCAGCGCCCUUUGUUUCCUGGCAGGGCUGCCUCUGCCUGAAAUAGCCCCUGCGGGGGCCACCCCUCCCUGCCACCCCCCACACCAGAGCCUGACGGAAACUGAAUCUGAGGAGCACGGAGGCGGAGAAAAGGUCUCCUUCCUGGAACCCUCCCCACGCCAGCAGAGGAAAGAGGAGGAUGAGGGGCAGGGAGGGAGGUGCCGGCGGCCCCGGGGCUGCGGGUCUGAGGCCAGCGCCGCAGACCCAGCAGCCUGCUUCGUCCCCAGCCCUCUCCCUGUCUUCUCAUCUGGCAAAUGGGUAGCUGGGUGAUUACACCUCAAAAGCUGUAACCCCAGCGCCAUCUCCCAGUGCCCCCUCCCUGCAGCCCCCCUUUCUUCAUUCACUCAGGGCUCUUUCUUGCCUCUGGGGGGCAGUCCUCGGCCCUCGACGGCGCUCCCUUGUUCGCUCCCUCCUUCCCUCGCCUCCUCUUCGCCGCCAGCAAGUAUUGAGCAGCGACUCUAUGCCAUCAGAGCCUCCCACGUGCCCCUGCAGUCACUGCCCCUCCCAGAGCUCCCUGGGAGGGAGGGGUGGGUUGUGGGGACCCAGAGGUGAUGCCCCGACAACUCGGCCACGUGUGACCCUCCCUGCCCGUGCCAGCCCUCCCUGGUCCCCCAGGCCCUCCUCACCACCGGACCAGGACGCCGACCCCAGUGGUGGGGACAGUGUUCAGGGGGCCACCUGGAGGAGGUGGGCUUUCAUUUGGAGCAGCCGAGGGGACUGUGGGGCGGGGACAGAAUGAUGCAGGGAAAAAUAUCACUGGCCAGGGAGUGAGAGGCCCAGGUUCUUGUCCCACCCUGGCACCUCCUCCCCGUGUGACUCCCUCUUGGAGCCUCCUUGGUACAGUGCGGUCCCGCAGGUGGGCGGCCUGGCAAAGGGAGAGAGGACCCCCUCUCUACCCUGUCAGGGAUAAGCACAGACCUCACCCGCAAACCCAUUUUACAGGCAGGCGGUUGAGGAACUGAGGUGGGACCGAAAGUUUACGCCAAAUGGAGAAAACCCAGACUGGAACUGCCGGUAAACGCUCGGUCAGCUGUGCCGGACUGACCACCUACUGCUUAUUCAAGUCUGUGCUAGGAGGUCGCUUGUGCCAGCGGAGAGCCUGGACCUCCGGGUCUGAUGUGAUCUGGCCCGGGCUCAGGAGGGCAAGGAGGCCUGGCCUUCAGCCCAGCAGCUGGCCCUCCGCUUGACUCCCAGGAUGGACUCCUGGGGUCCCCCUCCACCAGCGUGUCUGUCCCAAGAAUGGGAGGAGCUCCGAGGGCUUCCUGAAGGUGUCAGCCGCAGGGCAGGGCCUGGGUCUCAGUUCCUGCCACGUGGGUGGAGCCCGGGAGGGACAGCUCGGGUGACAGGGAUCCUGGGGGCAUCUGGGAGGGAGGCACCUGGAAGGGCUCCCAGAGAAGGCACAUGGGCUGCUGGGCGGGGGGAAGGUGUCCCCGCUGCAGUGCCAGGAUGCAAGUUUGAUCCCUGGCCUGGCACAGUGGGUUAAAGGAUCCGGCUUUGCCGCAACUGUGGCAUGGGUCACAUCUGUGGCUCGGAUCUGACCCCUGGCCCGGGGAACUCCAUAUGCUGUGGGACGGCCAAAAAAGGAAAAACAAAAUCAAGUGACAUGAAAUAAAAUAAAAGGCUGCGGGAACUUGGACACAUAAAAAGCAUGAAGAGGGCAGGCCAGGCCGGGGCAUGGAGGCAGGGGACGAGUCUACCCUGAGCGAGAAAUGAAGAGCAAGUGUCGCCACCAGAGUGUGGGGUGAGUUGUGCGAAGAGGGGCUCAAAUGGGAAGCCCGAGGGGAUGGGCCUCAAAACCUCAAGCAGAGCCCAGGGGCCACUGCUCUACUCCCAAGCCUGCCGGGGCCCCCGGCUGCCAGCCUGCCCCCGCCCCGGGCUUUCCGGGGGCCUUUCCCGGGCUGCCUCCUCUGCCUGGGACACUUCCACGCACCUUCUCUGAAUAGCUGCACUGUUCGUGUGGUUUUCUCAUCUGUAAGACGAGAGGGAUCACUGGUGCGGACACAGGCUGCUGUCAGAACUAAACGAAACCAUGUGUGUGGGCCGCCCUUGCAGCCAGCGUUUGUCAGGGCAGUGAAUCAAUUCCAGGCCCUGCCCUGGGCUCCCUCGGGUCACCCUAGUGUCCGGUGGUUUCAGGUCUUCAGCACCAGGUGACACUGAUUUCUCAACCGCCCACCCCGUGUCACAUGUUUCACCUGCAGUUCUGGGCAGGCAGUCGUGGGGUGAUACUUUGCAUGGUACCCAUAAAGGAACUAAGGCUCAGGAAGGGCUAGUGAGUGUCCUGAGGUGUCCCAGUCUGGGGGCACUUCAACAAGAUCUUUCUCACUCUACACCCCCUUUUCCACUGUCCCCCAAAGUCCCUGCUCCCCUGCUCCCCACUCCAGAGGAUUCCGCCAGGAAUGUCUUCCCUGCAAUAAGGGCCUUUGGCCAGGAGAUGGCGCCAGGAGACUGCCCGGGGCAGCAGGGGGGGGCGGUGGGGGGCAACUGAUGAGGGCUGAGGGCAGGUCAAUACACAGAGGGGGCCUCCCCUGCAGGGCUGGCACCAAGCAAGCUCAGAGCUGGGUUCCCAACCUCAGGUCCUCCGGACCCAGUUCCCAGCCCUUCUCCCACUUAGGCCCAGAUGAAAUCAAGCCUUGUUCUCAGAUCCCACAUCCGGUCGAUACGGCUCUCAGGAGCCCCCAGGGACCCUGGCAGGGCGCAGGCCUAGUGUGGAGUCUGUCCGGCUGCCAGGGAGCAUUUCCCUGACACCAGGCGUUCAGCACCCACCUCCACUCCAGGUGCACCAUCGGGAGGAACACUGACGCCCCUCACCCCGCAAGGGGUCAACCUCUGCUGGUUUCCGCUUUCAAUUCAGGUUUUCAAUUCAGGCAACAAGGCACGGGGUUGGUUUGCGCCUGCAGCAGAAGCGAUUCCGUUUAGAUGGAAGGAAGAGCUGACCGGGGCCGAAGCUCCGUGGGCUGCUUGGAUCCUAUGGUCUCAGGAUACCCAUGACUCUGCAGCCUCUUCCCAUCCCGAACCCGUCCCCACGGCCCUCGUAUCUGGAAGGGAUGAGGAGGCCUGACAGCCAGAGGUAGGAGCUGGAAGCCUGAGUCACCGUCUGCCAGCCAGCCAGGAACCAGUUCAGACCAGGCUGGACGUGGGAAAAGGCCUCCUAACCUUGGCCUGCCUGCCUUCUGGGAAACACGGCCUGGAAACCCCCCUGUCGGCCCCUGGCCUCCGAGCUUAGUACCAAGGGCACAGGAUGACAGAGAUCGAGACCUGGCUUCCUUCCCCUGAGGAGUCAGACAGCCUACGAUUCAUCACCAACUUGCUGUGUGACCCAGGGUGAGCCACCUACCCUCUCUGAGCCUGAAUCUCCACCUGAAAAAUGGCUUGAUGCCCGAGGCCAGGGCCUGCCUGGCACCCAGAAAACUGAGGGCCGAGGGCAGAGCCACCCCCUCCUGGAGGAGUUUUGGUUUCACCUGUGGUAUCCGGCUGGCCACACAAGCAGACAAACUUGGCAGAGGAGGGCACAGGGAGGGAGGGAAUCUGAUUUCUCUUCUCUUUUUCCACUUCCCCUUCUCACCUCCUGCUCGAUGGGAAUUAAAGCUGGAACUGAAACAAUCCAUUUUGAGCACAAGGAAGGGGAAGCUGCAGCUUCAGGGAAUGUGGGGGUUGAGGCUGCUCCCCUCAGUUUUUCUCUGGCCUCUAGAGGUUGGGCGCAGCAGACACCUGCAUCUCCUGCGGCUCUGCUCUGCCCCAGGCCCCAGCUGCCCAUCAGGGAGUUCGUGUUCUCCCACCCCAGUCGGGGCAGAUGUUGUCAACGUGCCAAAAUGCUUCCCAGGCUGCCUCUCAUUCACUCUUCACAGCGACCGCCCCACCUUGUAGGUGCGGAAGCUGAGGCCUGGCAAAGCAAGCAAGAGGGUCUCUCUUGGGCACACGUACGACGAGGUCUCAGAUCAGGGCGACCUGGUGGGCAGAGGGCUGAGAAGUCACAGGGCAGCCUCAGGGUGAGGAAGUGUGGCCUGAGCACAGGGGCCCAGAGAGCAGCGGCCACAGGCAGCCCUGCCAGCAGAGGGACAGUUCACAGCGGCCGGCUUCCCAAGUCCAAGGCCCUGGGGCUGUAGCACCUCCUGCCCAGGGCCCUGGGAGAUCCCAGACCUUCCAAUAAACCCCUGUCCCUGGAGCUGGUAUGAGGGGGUCUCUGCUCCUGGCCUGGACCCCAAGGCUGUCCCUAUGGAGACAUGCCACUUGGAGUCCCUUUCCAGAAAGAACCCGCUGCUUAGCUGCAAGGAGUGCAGCUGGCUGACGGCCUCCCCUGGUGCCUUCAAGACCCGCCCCUCCUCCCAGAUAACCAGGCUCCCGUCCACGGGGGAAGAGAUGGCCCCGGUCCAGCCGCUGGCCUGUCUCACAGGCCAUCAUUGUUCUGUUCCUCUGUACUUUCUCCCACCCAAUUCCCGGAUCCUUCUCAUAAUGACAGCCUCCCCUCCUUCCUCUCCUGGAGUCUUGAGGAUCCAGGAGUGGUGGGCCUGUGACCCAGGCCUGCCGAUGAGACAAGAAUGGGCGCCUCAGGCCCGGAACCAGCUUGGGAUCGGGUGGGUGACCGUCACUGGGUGUCUCAGAUUCUGGAGCUUUUGCUGGAACGUUGAGCCUGGAGCUGCUGGAGGCAGGGGAAUAUGUGCCAGGCACUGUCCUAUGGCUAAAGACACUACCACCAGGGAGGAGAGUGUCCAAAUAAAGCCAAAGGAUGGCAGAGUUGAGAGGUGGGAACAUGUAAGUCCCUGAGAACACCCUUGAGAGCCUGGAUCCAGCUAUACCUGAAGCUUUACUUUUCACUGGAUUUUUUGAAGGCACGAGCUGAUAAAUUCCCUUUUGGCCUCAGUCUCUUUGACCUAGAACUGCCACUUAAAAUCAGAAGUCCUGUCUAUAGUCCUGCACACCCGUGCCUCCCUCUCCUCUUUCAACAGCCUUCGUGACCACCUUUGGCCUGAUACCCCUCAUAUACCUGCGGAGGAAGCUAGAACUGGCUAUGUACAUGGAGGCCACCAGCAGAGGGGCAGGCAGGAUGGAGGGACUGUCAGGUCAAGCCUAGCCUUCAUGGGGGCAACAGGAGGAGCCCCCCCUCCAUUCAUUUUCCAUGAAGAAAGCUCCUCUUCCAUCAGCUUCCACAGUAAUCGCUGCGCCAUCUCAGUAGCUCCUGAGAAGGAAACUAGAAAUCUCAAAUCCAGGCUCUAGUCCUAGAUGCAUCACCCACUGGCGGUGUGGUCCUGGGGAGGCGACCUUAGCUCCCCAAGCCUCACUUUCCCGAACAUCGUCACUGCUGCAGUUUCUCGGUCACUCAGCAGGUGCUAACCCCUGAGCUACGUGCUUUUGAGGCAGAAUCUCUUUUGCUCUUACGGCAGCCCCAUAUGGCGGCCUGUUUACCCCCAUUUUACUAAUAAGGAAGGAGGCUUAGAGAAAGCUAGUGACUUGCCCAAGGAGACCCAGUGAGUCGGCAGUGAGCCAGGACUAGGACAGAGAUCUGAAUAAUGACAAAGUCCACACUCAGGAAGAGAGAGAACCGUUCCCUGGGGGAGAAUCGAGGCCAGAGAAAUCAGGACCUCCCCCAAAGUGCCAGUAAAUCCACCACUCACACCCUGCCUUUCAGGACCACAGUAGCC
rnacentral:lncRNA from 1 species